rnacentral:tRNA from 2 species
GGUAGCGUGUCCGAGCGGCCUAAGGAGCACGCCUCGAAAGCGUGUGUGGUUAACAGCCACCGUGGGUUCGAAUCCCACCGCUACCGCCG